AGAGUUUGAUCCUGGCUCAGGAUGAACGCUGGCGGCGUGCUUAACACAUGCAAGUCGAGCGGAAAUAUUUUAUAAUGAAGGCUUCGGUGUGGAAUUUAUAAUAUUUUAGCGGCGGACGGGUGAGUAACGUGUGGGUAACCUGCCAUAUACUGGGGAAUAAUCAUUUGAAAAGAUGACUAAUACCGCAUGUCGUCACCGAGGGGCAUCCCUUGGUGAAAAAAGGAGUAAUCCGGUAUAUGAUGGACCCGCAUCUGAUUAGCUAGUUGGUGAGAUAAUAGCUCACCAAGGCGACGAUCAGUAGCCGACCUGAGAGGGUGAUCGGCCACAUUGGGACUGAGACACGGCCCAAACUCCUACGGGAGGCAGCAGUGGGGAAUAUUGCACAAUGGGCGAAAGCCUGAUGCAGCAACGCCGCGUGAAGGAAGAAGGGUUUCGGCUCGUAAACUUCUAUCAAUGGGGAAGAAACAAAUGACGGUACCCAAAUAAAGAAGCCCCGGCUAACUACGUGCCAGCAGCCCGCGGUAAUACGUAGGGGCAAGCGUUAUUCCCGGAAAAUUACUGGGUGUAAAGGAAGCGUAGCGCAUGUAAGCCAUGAUGUGAAAGCCCGAAGCUUAACUUCGAGGAAUUGCAUUUGGAACUAUCAAGCUAUGAGUACAGGAGAGGUAAGUGUGAAUUCCUAGUGUAGCGGUGAAAUGCGUAGAUAUUAGGAAGAACACCAGUGGCGAAGGCGACUUACUGGACUGAAACUGACGCUGAGGCUCGAAAGCGUGGGGAGCGAACAGGAUUAGAUACCCUGGUAGUCCACGCCGUAAACGAUGAGUGCUAGGUGUCGGAGGGGAACCUUCGGUGCCGCAGCUAACGCAAUAAGCACUCCACCUGGGGAGUACGAUCGCAAGAUUGAAACUCAAAGGAAUUGACGGGGCCCGCACAAGCGGUGGAGCAUGUGGUUUAAUUCGAAGCAACGCGAAGAACCUUACCAAGGCUUGACAUCCCAAUGACCGGUGUAGAGAUACACCUUCUCUUCGGAGCAUUGGUGACAGGUGGUGCAUGGUUGUCGUCAGCUCGUGUCGUGAGAUGUUGGGUUAAGUCCCGCAACGAGCGCAACCCCUAUCUUAGUAGCCAUCAUUAAGUUGGGCACUCUGGAGAGACUGCCGUGGAUAACACGGAGGAAGGUGGGGAUGACGUCAAAUCAUCAUGCCCCUUAUGUCUUGGGCUACACACGUGCUACAAUGGUUGGUACAAAGAGACGCAAGACGGUGACGUUAAGCAAAUCUCAAAAAACCAAUCCCAGUUCGGAUUGUAGGCUGCAACUCGCCUACAUGAAGCUGGAAUCGCUAGUAAUCGCAGAUCAGAAUGCUGCGGUGAAUACGUUCCCGGGCCUUGUACACACCGCCCGUCACACCAUGGGAGUUGGAAGCA
rnacentral:rRNA from 1 species